ACGGGAAGCCACCUUCGGGUGGUGGACAGUGGCGCACGGGUGAGUAACGCGUGGGAACCUACCUUUUGGUACGGAACAACCAAUGGAAACGUUGGCUAAUACCGUAUACGUCCUUUUAGGCGGGAGCCUGAAGGGAGAAAGAUUUAUCGCCGAGGGAUGGGCCCGCGUCCGAUUAGUUUGUUGGUGAGGUAACGGCUCACCAAGACCGCGAUCGGUAGCUGGUCUGAGAGGAUGAUCAGCCACACUGGGACUGAGACACGGCCCAGACUCCUACGGGAGGCAGCAGUGGGGAAUAUUGGACAAUGGGCGCAAGCCUGAUCCAGCCAUGCCGCGUGAGUGAAGAAGGCCCUAGGGUUGUAAAGCUCUUUCACCCGCGAAGAUGAUGACGGUAGCGGGAGAAGAAGCCCCGGCUAACUCCGUGCCAGCAGCCGCGGUAAUACGGAGGGGGCAAGCGUUGUUCGGAAUUACUGGGCGUAAAGGGCGCGUAGGCGGUCUGUUGCGUCAGGUGUGAAAGCCCCGGGCUCAACCUGGGAGGUGCACUUGAUACGGGCGGGCUAGAAUCCGGGAGAGGAUGGUGGAAUUCCCAGUGUAGAGGUGAAAUUCGUAGAUAUUGGGAAGAACACCGAUGGCGAAGGCAGCCAUCUGGACCGGUAUUGACGCUGAGGCGCGAAAGCGUGGGGAGC
rnacentral:rRNA from 1 species